rnacentral:rRNA from 1 species
GCACUGAAACACUGGUUCCCAUAUGAUCACUGAAUUUAAGCAACAUCAAGCCUAGUCAGUACCUAGAUGGGUGACUGUUUGGGAAUACCAGGUGCUGUAAG